GAUGAGCCUGCAUGAUAUGGUGUAAUCUAAUCAGGCUGUCUUCACACUGGAAACCUGGUCUCCACCGAGUGGUCAGGCCCAGGCCACCUGCAGAAGGAGCCCUUAGAUGUUUAGCUCUGUGGUUUGCAGGACCUUGAAACUAUAGGACCAGCUUGUGGUAGCAUUGGUGACCAAGAGAGUCUCUCCAGGGAGAGAAUGUACAUGCAUCGUCCAUAAGCCAUCCCCACAAUACAUCCUGAGGAUCUGGAUAUCCCUUGUGUCCCAUCUGUGGAAGGUUUGGUUCCCCAGUAGAACCACCAUGAGGAAUAACAGGUAGGACCUAAUAGAGGGGAUGGGGUUGGGGACAUGCCCUUGAUGGUGGCUGUGGGACCUAGCUCCUUCCUCCUGUUUUUGCUCCCAGGCUUGGGAAGAGCUUAGUGGUUUGCUCUGCCAUAAAACCCAACAUGAUGUGCUGCCUUGCCCUAAGCCCAAAUCAGCCUAGCUGUCCAACCAUGGGCCUCCAAACCUGGGACCCCAAACAAACCUCUCCUUAUAAGUUGAUUAUCUCAGGUAUUGGUCAUAGUGACAGAAAG
rnacentral:lncRNA from 1 species